AGACAACAAAAUGUUUAUUAUUAUUAUUUUGUCACCUUAGGUCGAUCGGUAUCUCACGUUCUUAAUUCGUUAAGAAUUUCAUUUCCUAAGUUUUUCUAGGUCACACCCAUUAUUUUUCCUGGGCCAUUAGCUCAGGUGGUUAGAGCGCACCCCUGAUAAGGGUGAGGUCCCUGGUUCAAGUCCAGGAUGGCCCAUAUCUCUAUGUUGGGGGUAUAGCUCAGUUGGUAGAGCGCCUGCUUUGCAAGCAGGAUGUCAGCGGUUCGAGUCCGCUUACCUCCACUGAUUACCACCUCUUCCAUAACCGAUAGAAAGGAAAUGUUUUGAGUUGUGAUUAUUAUUCUGAACGAAUCUAGCUUCCUAAUGAAAUCAUUAAGAUGCUGGACUCAUUGAAUUAAUUUCAUUGUUUUCAGAGAACCUUGACAACUGCAUAGAUUAUUUUUAAAGACAAUAAGCAUCUUUAAUGAUGCAGAUUUAUUAUUUGUGCGAAUGCAUUAAUAACAAUUCUAUUAAGCUGAUGCUUCAAUUACGAAGUUAUU
rnacentral:tRNA from 1 species